ACGCGGCCGACACGGGAUGGAUCGAGCCUCGAGCUGAGCGGCGUCGCGACGCAUUUAACCGGUGAUGCGGACGAAAAACUGGCAAUGGCGAGAGAGGAGGAGAGGAGGCCUGGGAGGCAUCGGGCGACAGCGGAAAGGCGGACGGAUAAAUGUUAGAUGUAACGCACGAUGAUAAUACACCCUUCGGAGUUGGCCUGAACUUCGCGAAACAGAAAAUAUUCGGUAUCGACAUAAUUUAUGUUACUACCGCGGCGGAGUUUCAAGAAAAAACUUGGACAUUACGUUUUCAAACAAUCGAAAGAGUUCGACGUAUAAAUAAAUCGCGCGUAAUUCAUCGCGUUUUUUAAUUUCGCGUAAUUUCAACUUCGGGAGUGCCGUACAAGUUCGGAAGCAAGUUUCGCGCGAUCAUCGUAUUGCGAUAAUUAGUUUGCUCGCGAUCGUAAUUAGUGAGUGUUACGUAAGUGCCAGGAACCAAGGAAUCUGAGAGGAGGAGGAGGUCUGGGAGACAUCGGGCGACAGUGGAGCAACCAUGCGAGUUCAACGUAGCUUCGAAAGCAGUUUAUAACUCCACUGUUGCGCAUCGUGCCGGUGAGUGCUUUUUUAAUUUAAAUGAGAUAAAGAAUCUGUGAAAAGAAUUGCACGAAUACGAUAUAUUUAGAUGUUAUAUCUUAGGUUGACAGUAAUAAAAAAUGUAAUAUCUCACAGAUUCAUUUGUCUUAAAAUGGAUGGGCUAGAACAGAUUAGAAUAAAUUUUUAAUUCUGGAUCUUUAAUUCUGAAAAUAAAAUUAUCCGGCGAUUUAUUAUGAAUAGAAUGCACUCGUAUACGCACAAAGCAUGCAAAAUAGAGCUUAUUGUGUUAUUUUACAUUAUUUAUUGUCACACGUUUCUUUUUAUUCCAUCCUCGUCCUAUUACUCGUGUCCGAGCGUGGUGACUUCUCUUCAUAUACAUGUGUUGCGCACGUAGAUUAUACACAUUGUACAUUCUUUUUAUUACUCGAUUCUUAAUAGAAUACUAAUUACGAGACACAUUAGUCGCUUAUAAUUUAUAAAAUAAACUUGCAAGUACAAAACAGUGAUA